AAGACUCUACGUUAAACGGUUCAAAUGUUAGGAAAUGGGGCGUGGCUUAACAAUAGGGGGCGGGUCAAACAUCACUAAUGAAAAUGGAACUCUCUGCCGAGUUCAUCGAUACCUCACACAAGACUGUACCUAUAACGGUUCAAUUGUUAUGAAAGUGGGCGUGGCCUGAGUGCGUGGGCGUGGUCAAAUUAUAGGGGCCGGCUCAG